UUGGUUGUAACCGAGGAUAAAGACGCCAUCAUUUCCAUUCCACGGAAUUAACCAGUUCAGCAUGAAAUACAAUUUCGUGUUGGUUAAUUUCGCAGCUGCUUUGAAUCGGGAAUCACAACGUUUAACGAUUCGUCAAGUGUAACUACUGUGUAACUUAUUAGACUUGCUUCCAUGUGCGCCAAUACACCGGAUGUGAAUAAUGAAUUUGUUUGUAAUGGUAAAUAACAGCCAGCAACGGUGACGAGGUUAGGAAUGAUUCAUCAAUUCGAAAAAUAUCCAAGGAACCGCGAUGCUCGAUUAAAUUUCACAUCGUAAUUAGAGGGAUUUGUAUUUGACAUGACCGCGGAAUAUUUUGACGGCGAAAAGCUAUGUUCUGUUGACAGAUCGUGAAAACCGUCGCUCUUUUUUCGCGAAUCCUGUCCGUGAAAAUCGAACAUGGCUAGGCAACCUUUGUCACUGGACGUCCGGCUGGCAUCAAAGGACGCCGCAGAAAUAAUUCAAGUAUAAAUGAAAAGGGGCAAGAGGGAAGAAAGAUCAGGGGUUGUCGUCGACAAAGAGCCGGUCGACAGAGAUAGAUGGAUGACGGAACGGAGAUCGAUAUAGGGGUCAUCAACUGCGGUGUGAAAAAGGAUGCGCUCUAACAAUGAGAAUUAGAGAUCGAAUUCGCAGUAGAGAAAGGGAUAUAUUGCAUAGCAUAGAGAUACAAUAUAAUAUGUAAUAUCCGUACGAUGCUGUUCAAACAUCGAUCUUUUAUUUAAUGGGAGGCUAGUUUAAUGUUUUUAAUGAAAAAGCGGUGAUAUGACCGUCACGAACCGUUGAGACACGCUAGAUAUUCGAGAUCGAAAUGUCGAGAAGCUGACACGGAAACUGAGUGAAGAUUAAGAUAUCUACACGCAAGAAGAAGGAAAUUGGUCGCGGAGAAGGCGAGAUGAAAAUUUUCAACGGGACAAAACAAACGAAAAUAUCAGCGGAGACAUUGUGAAACCACGGGAUAGGUAUCCUUGAAUAAAGAAAAAAUAUAAAAGAAAGGAAAACAAGACGAUAAAAGAUAAUAAAAGACGGCGACAGAAGUAAACGGAGUGAAGAAGAAGUCUAGGGAAACCGAAAUCCUCCAGGAAAUGGAAAAAUCAAGAAAAAUCAGCUGGCUCUGAACACUUGCCGAGACUGUGAACUUUAAAAGGAGGAAACUGCGGAGACAGGAAGCGACUGCUGCUUGGAAAAAUCCAGCUGCACUCUGGAGAUUAAGGAAAGGGGCCGCGAAGUCGAAAGAUUGGGUGUAACGGGUGGAAGAAGAAAUUAAGGGGAGAACAAACCCAGAUGGAACUUUAUAUAAUAGAGGAAGGGCAGAGAGAUCAUUUUAUUGUUAGAGAUAGAAAAUGUUAAUACACGAUACUUUGUGAUAAGUUGAAUAUACAUUUUAGAAACGAGGAAGUUCCAGCUCUGAAAUAAAAUAAAUAUCUGCUAUUAAAGACGGAAACAAUUUAUUGGUUAUUUUAAAAGAAGUAAAGUAUCUGUAUCCACUAUUAAGAAAAAGAAUUCUAAAAUGACUUGAAUUUUUAUAAUACAUACAUUGGACGCAAUAUUUUUAAAGAGAAGAAAUAAUUGUUCUGUGACAACAAAGAAGAUGAAUUUCGAUAUUUCAACAACUGUGAAGUAUUUCCUUAUUAACUAUUUUAGAAGAAUUGGAGUUAUUCCUACUAUGAAACAAGACAGAACGAACCCGAAUUUUUGCAAUGCAUUGGAUGCAGUAUCUUAAGAAAAAAAAUAUAAUUCUAACAAAAAAGGAGAAGAGGAAUUUUAAUAUUACAAAAUAUAUUAAACGCUACCAAAAUUAAUUUUCAUUACGAUUCACAGAAACAUCCACUUAAAUUUUUCUUGUGCAAAUUUUAUUCCAAUCGGUCGAUUCUAAACCACUCGAUUAAUUUUGCCGGUCGCUUAAGCCAAAGAGACCAUUAUUCUCGCGUACUUUCUGCGUACAGAUAUCCUCUGGAAAAUAUAACAAAACAAUUCCAGAAGCACGCCAUAAACUUGCUCCUAUUGUGUCCCGGGCAAAGAGAAGAGGUGUGGCGCUUUUCGACGCGCAGGAAUACCAGGGAUGCGUGAAUGAACAAAGAGAAGAGCCAGGAAGAGAAGUUAGAAGAGCAAGGAGCAAACGAAAGCCCGGGGGAAUCCAGAAAAUCCGCGUCGAAUGCCCUAGGAGCCGCAGAGGAGACUGCGUUGUAAAAAAAGGAAAACAAGAAGAGGAAAAAGAAGAAGUGAAAAAGGGGACAGGGAAUGGAAAGGUGUAAUAGUUGGCAGGAAGGAAAAAGAAACGCGUAGCGUAAGAGAAAAAAGCAAACAGACCGCGUGAAACGCGUCAGACUAGGCUCUCGCAAUCGCGGUCCACUUUGCUAACGAGCUUCUGGAGAUGCGUCGAAACGCAUAAAGCGCGGACACACCGCGUGUCUCGGCAAUUAUCGCGAUAAUUAUACCGUUGUUACAAUGCAACAGACCGGCUGGCUGCGACGCUUUGCCCGAGGACAAAAAAGGAUAACAGUAGUUUGAGGCUGACAUGUUUUAAUCUUCAGUAAUGGACGGUUGGAUGGGACUGGAAUGGCAAUUCGGUGGCGAAGUGUUAGUCGAGAUAAGGAACAGUAGGUGAUCUUGAUUUGAUAGCGACUGACGCGAGAAAUACCAGGGGAACAGACCGUGAAGAAUAAUUGUUUUUCGAGAACUGAAAAUGAGGGUUCUUCUUGAGAAAUUGGGGUGCAGUUGAGGGUGAAAAGCUAUUUUCCGUUGAAGUUGAAGAUUUAUGGAAUAUUCAGGUGGAUUUGAUGAUAGAGAAUUAUCUUUCUAAAGAUUGGUGAUUUAUUGGAAAUGUUGUAAAAAUGACAAAGUCGGUAAUGGAGAAUUCUUUUCUUAAAUAUUGCCAUUCUUCUAUACGGCCGACUAUGAUUAAAGAUUGUAUAAUUACAUAAGAGAUUAAUGUAAAGGAUUGUUCAAAAGUAAUAAUUUAAGAAGUGAUGUUACAAUUACAAACGUAUUCAAAGUUACUUAAUUAAUAUAAUUUUCUUUCUUUCGUCGGAGAAUACCAACCACCAGCUGAAUCUUCCACCAAGAUGAUUCCAGUGUUAUUGUAGACGUCACAGACUUGCAUCAAAGGUUUCCAGUAAAGAUCAUUCAAGACCUCUGCAACUAAAGCCAUAUGAAGCUAGCAGUUAAUUUCAUCAAGCACCUGAAGAUUUCAUCAAGGACUUCCUCCAGCCUUAUCAAAGAUUUUUUUGAGUACUCUCAGAGCAUAUUGGCUUCCCUUCGGUUCUAACUAGCAAAGAUUCUCAGAUGCAAGCCUGGCUGCUUAACUCAAAGGGUUUUCUACGGUUUCUCAAAGGGACGUGGCUUACACACACCUGGAAGCUUCCUAUCGACCUUGACUGGACAGAUUUAUUUCGAAUUCACCGGUUAAAACGUUUAUACGCUUCCUUGAAGAUCGUGUGUCGAGAGGCCGAGAUUUUUCUUGCAGACGAGGGACAUUAGCCAGCUAAACAUUAAGGGGAAUUACGCUAAUGAAUAUCUAACCAGAAACCCCAACGUUAAAGGGAAUUAUGCUAAUGAGCCUGGAGAGACACAGAGGGGGAUGAGGGAAAGGGAGACGCCUGUGCGUCUUGUUGCAUUAUCCACGAGAUAUUCGGAAGAGGAACGGAGACUUAAUUCGAGAGAAAUGCUGGAAGAAAUGAGAGAAGGAAGUGGAAGAUCCCCAACUCGACUCGAGUUUUCAUCUUUUGGUUUCGUAGACUGUUUCCUUCAUUUAUUAUGGCUGCUGGGCACUCUGCUUGCAUGCAAGCCUUCAUAAAUUUUGCGUACAAUAAAAGUGACGUAGCGAAGGUAUUCAGACUGUUACUUGGACACAGAAGACUAAGGCGGAAAUUUUUACUACGAAGAGAAACAGCUGCAGAGCGUGAACCUUGCGACCUAUCGCUCGCAGUUCAACGCGUAAUUCUGAAAUGCAGCAAAUUAGAUGAACCACGGAACAGAUUCAAGAUCCCCAAGGAACUCAAGGAAGCAUUCGGUACGGAACAAAGCAGAGAAAUCCUCCUGGAAUUCAUAAAAUCAAUAGACAUAUAGGACGAGAUCUGCAGACAAGAAAUACCGUUGCUAAUGACCGUGUUGUCGACACGAUGUUAAAGAAUGGAAGAAGAAGAAGAAGAAGAAGAAGAAGGGUUAUUUUUUCACGUAGUUCUUUUAAAAUCUGACUUUAUCAGUAAAGAAGAGUAAAGCUAAUAUUUGUUUCUUUCCUAUGAAAAUAUAGUACCAAAUGUCAGUAUUGCGAUCUCUGCUUUUUUAAUGUUCAAUAUUGAAAAAUUUCCAUAACGUUAGAAAUGUAAAAGUGGACUUAAUUAAAUGGAGCGUAGAAUGUAUGAUCGGAUAUCCAUGAAAAUCUUUUUUUCUCGUGAUCAUCAACUUUGUAAGAAUGACGUUAGAGAGACAAAAUGGUAUUCCGUGUUUGGCUUCUUUCCUCUAUUACUUUUUUCCUUCUAUUUCUAACUCGCUUAUUACCUGAGCUUGCAAGGAGCAAAAGCCAAACAUAAUAAUAAUAAUAAUAUUGCAAGUGCAUCUAUUGCCUAUCAAAUUUCCUAAUCUCUAUCAAGUAAAGGAUAAGAGACAGUUUUAUGUCAAAUUAGUCUGAAGCGAAAGAGACAUCGCUUGUGUUUUACGUACAUAAAAUACGUUUCUUUGUACACGUUUGGCUACAACUUCGAUGCGUUGCUGAUUUCUGUCAAUGCUUCCUUUCAAAAUAUUACAAAAUAUUACGACACUACAGACCAGACGAUAAUAGGAGUAUUUACCCUAAUCAAUAACAUCGAGCAAAUAAAUAUGCAUCUCGACAAGUUUCAACAAAGGAGCUCUCUCUUCAAGUUCCACAAACUUCUCCCAAUUUAGCCAGACGAGGCAGAGCCAUCCGAAAACAUUCGUCUGCCUGACUCCGAACGCACUUUUCCAAUUGCGGAACAAGGGGAAGGAAUUGUCUGGCGGCGAAAGUCCUGCGAGGAGAAGCAAUUAUCGCAACGUAUUCCAGACACUAUCGUUCUCAUGUUUUUAACGGGGCCAGACGCGAAACGAAGCCAAGGGAACCUUAGCCAAGAAGACGAUGCUUUAUACGUUGACUAGCCGAGCCAGGAUCCGGUUUAUAGCUCACGAGAAGUCUUCGUUGCAUUCUUAAAACUGUUCCAAAGGAACGUAAAUGUAUGCAUGCGGGAAGUUUGUCGCGCGAAUAAAGCGAUUCCACCCGACCAAGGGAUGAGGACGGGGGUGAAAAAAAUGGCCGUGGACGGGGGAAAGUUUUAAAAGUGAACGGAAGGCGGAGGGCGUGGGGGAAAAAUUGAGUUUCUACCGCGCAGACGGCGAAAAAACUUCCUGCAGACUGAACAGGAUUUCGACGCGGAAAGGAAACAGAGACGGAGAAUGGCUCGCUGAAUUCGAGAUGCGGGACGCGACAGCCAAGCGAAAGAUCAAAAAAAUGGCCAACCUUCGAUGCAUCGUCUUAUGAUACAUCUUGCACGCACGGUGGUUUGCAAGAAACGACGAUACGAGGAAAACGUGAAAAGUAUCCACGGCCGAGACGAA